rnacentral:rRNA from 1 species
GUGGGAAUAUUGGACAAUGGGCGAAAGCCUGAUCCAGCAAUACCGCGUGAACGAUGAAGGCCUUCGGGUUGUAAAGUUCUUUUAAUAGGGAAGAUAAUGACGGUACCUAUAGAAUAAGCACCGGCAAACUUCGUGCCAGCAGCCGCGGUAAUACGAAGGGUGCUAGCGUUGUUCGGAAUUAUUGGGCGUAAAGGGUGUGUAGGUGGUUUCGUAAGUUAGUUGUGAAAUCCCGGGGCUCAACCUCGGAAUUGCGGUUAAAACUACGGAACUAGAGCAUGAUAAGCGAUGGCAGAAUUUCUAGUGUAGGGGUAAAAUCCGCAGAUAUUAGAAGGAAUACCGGUGGUGUAGACGGCUAUCUUGGUCAUUACUGACACUAAGACACGAAAGUGUGGGGAGCAAACAGGAUUAGAUACCCUGGUAGU